rnacentral:rRNA from 1 species
CAGUAGUUACGGGAAUACGAAGGGUGCAAGCGUUACUCGGAAUUACUGGGCGUAAAGCGUGCGUAGGUGGUGGUUUAAGUCCGUUGUGAAAGCCCUGGGCUCAACCUGGGAAUUGCAGUGGAUACUGGGUCACUAGAGUGUGGUAGAGGAUAGUGGAAUUUCCGGUGUAGCAGUGAAAUGCGUAGAGAUCGGAAGGAACAUCUGUGGCGAAGGCGACUAUCUGGGCCAACACUGACACUGAGGCACGAAAGCGUGGGGAGCAAACAGGAUUAGAUACCCGGGUAGUCCCUGUCUCUUAUAA